UCUGCCGGCCUGACACUGCUG
rnacentral:misc_RNA from 1 species